rnacentral:rRNA from 1 species
UUGAACGCUGGCGGCAGGCCUAACACCUGCAAGUCGAACGGUAACAGGAAGAAGCUUGCUUCUUUGCUGACGAGUGGCGGACGGGUGAGUAAUGUCUGGGAAACUGCCUGAUGGAGGGGGAUAACUACUGGAAACGGUAGCUAAUACCGCAUAACGUCGCAAGACCAAAGAGGGGGACCUUCGGGCCUCUUGCCAUCGGAUGUGCCCAGAUGGGAUUAGCUAGUAGGUGGGGUAACGGCUCACCUAGGCGACGAUCCCUAGCUGGUCUGAGAGGAUGACCAGCCACACUGGAACUGAGACACGGUCCAGACUCCUACGGGAGGCAGCAGUGGGGAAUAUUGCACAAUGGGCGCAAGCCUGAUGCAGCCAUGCCGCGUGUAUGAAGAAGGCCUUCGGGUUGUAAAGUACUUUCAGCGGGGAGGAAGGGAGUAAAGUUAAUACCCUUGCUCAUUGACGUUACCCGCAGAAGAAGCACCGGCUAACUCCGUG